AAGGAUUGCCGGAUAAUGCUCUCUCUCGAAGGAGGCUGAUUGGAAACAAGGGAAAAAUUGUCAUUUUUAAAGUGUCACCACCUUGUGAAAAUGAUAUCACCAUGACGGGCUCGACGAGACGAAGACGAGGGCUUUGGAAUCACCCCAAUCGGAGUCUCGAGCAAAAAGAUAUGGGCAUUUGAAGAAUAGGGACCAAUAUGUAAAUAAAGUAUUCACAGACAGGCACCUGGCCGCCUAAACCGAAGGCGCACUACGCAGAUUAUGUUUCCUCGAAAGGAAAGCGUACUUCAACAGUAGUGUAACUGAAAUAUGCCUUCUUAUUUCUGAAAACGUAUUCCAACAUAUGCGCUUCCACUUAUCCAGCUGGCUGCCUCUAGCCGCCGACAGGUGGGUCCCGACCCCACCUGUCGGGUCCUCUCUCUCCUUCUCGCCUCUCUCUUCCUCCUCCCGAUGCCCAGAUGCACCAGCGACACUGCGCGGCGUCGGCGCACGUCCGGCCGGCUCCGGCCACCUCUAGCUGAGGCGAGGGCACCGGAGGCCUUGGGGUGAAGCACCGCCUCCAUACAAGGACAACCUUCGCGCCGGAAAGCUCUGAGUCAGCCCCAAUCCAAGAGGUCCGACGCGGCGGCCCUGGCGGCACAGGGCGGAGGGGAGGGGCUCCUGGCUGGAUGUGGCAGUCCAGGGAGGGCUAGAGGAGGGAGGAGAGUCUGCCCGUCCGCUCAAGGGGCCCCGGGGAGGCCUAAAAACAGGAGGGUCGGCUCGCUGGAUAAGCUCGGCCACGGUGACAAGCUUAUCCGCGCACUGGAGCUUGGGGCUGGCGGGUUGCGGCGUCUAGGGGCCACGGUGAGGAGGGGAGCAGCUGGAAGAGGCUUCGGGAGGGCCCAGGGAGGAAGGAGACAAGGGAGAGAGGUGACGACUCACGGGUCACGGGAAAACAGGGUUCCGGCGAAGCUUGUCGCGACCUGCCGGAGGAGAGGACGAAGGGGAAAACUACGGGAGAGGGGGAGGAUGGAUGCUAUAGAGCUAUUGGAC
rnacentral:lncRNA from 1 species